CAUAGGCUUUAGUAUAUCCCUUUGCAACCAGACGAGUUUUGUACCGUUCUAUAGUCCCAUCUGCUUUAUAUUUCACAUUAAAAACUCAUUUACAGCCAACUGGUCUCUUACUUUGUGGUAGCUCCACUACAUCCCAAGAUCCAUUUUUGCUUUUAUUUCUUCCAUCACUGCUUUUUUCCAUUUAGUAAUUUCAAAUGCUUCCUAAAUAUUUUUGGGAAUCUUUGUAUUAUCAAGGUUAGAGACAAUUUUGAAAUUGUGGAGAUAAAGUUUUGUAGGCUAUGAAUUUUGAGAUAGGAUGAAAAGUGCAUGAUCGUUUUGGUUUCCUUAGAGCAAUAGGUAAAUCACAAUUAGAUGACUUUGGAGAAAUUUCAUGAGGAUCUGGAUCUAUCACCGGUUCAUACUCUUUUGGUGCUUCGAGUGUGAGGUCGUCUUCCUUAUACUUUGAUUUUGGCUUUCUUGAAUAAACUAUCAUCUCUUUGUCAAGUCGUUCCUUCUGAUCUCCCCCUGAAUUCAAGUUGCUUUCUGUUGAUGGCAUAUUAGAACAGGCAGAUGGUUCAAGAUUUUGUAUCGAUUCAUAUUCAGAUGGGUUAAGGGAGAUUUCAAAAAAGCGAUCUUCGACUAUGUUCUCCCCCUGAGGAGAGGUUUUUUGAAAGAAGGGUUUUGUCACAAAGAAAGUGAUAUCAAGGCUAACAAUUACCCUUUUGUUGUUGGAUCAUAGCAUUUAUACCUCUUUUGUGUUGGUGAAUAUCCAAUGAAUACACAUUUGAGGGCACGUGGUUCGAGCUUAGUUCGACGAUGGGAAUGGAUGUGAACAAAGGUCGUGCAGCCAAACACUUUAAGGGGUAAGUUUGAGCUGAUGCGAGAGUAACGGAAAAAAUUUUGGAAUUUUUGAAGAGGGGUCUCAUAUUUGAGAAUGUGACUAGGCAUUCUGUUUAUAGGGUUGGUUGCUGUGAGAAUGGCAUCAUCCCAGAAGGUGGUAUGCAUGCUAGAAGUAAACAAUAGUGCUCGAGCCACCUCAAGGAUGUGUCUAUUUUUUCGUUCAGCAACUCCAUUUGUUGUGGAGUAUCAACGCAUGAGCUUUGGUGAAUUAUCCCAUUGUCUAAAAGGUAAUUGUUUAGAGUAUGAUUGAAAUAUUCUGUGUCAUUAUCUGUGCGCAGAAUUUGAAUUUUUGUUUGAAAUUGAGUUUGGACCAUUGAAUGAAAAUUUAUGAAUACAGAUUGGACAUCACUUUUUCUUUCAGCAUAUAAACCUAACAGAUUCGAGUAUGGUCGUCAAUGAAUGUAAUGAACCAUUUAGUGUGGGUGCAAUUGGGGGUUCGUGAAGGUCCCCAAAGGUCACUGUGAAUUAAUGCGACGAGUUUAGAUGAUUUGUAUGUGGAUUUUGGGAAUGGUGAGCGGUGAUGUUUUGCAAGUUCACAAGUUUCACAACUAAAAUCAAUAGAUAUUUUAUUCGAAAAUACUGAAGGUAAUACAUGUCUCAUAUAUUGAAGGUUGGGAUGACCCAAUCUAAAAUGCCAUAACAGAAUUUUACUAUCCCUAGGAACAAAUGCAGAAUCACAACUAACAAAUUGAUGUUGUUUACUCACAUCAGUUUCGUCAAAGUAGUAAACCCCCCCCACCCUCUUUAGCACUGCCAAUUGUCUUCCCCGAUGAUAGGUCCUGAAAAAUACAAUGAGAAGGAACAAAGUUAGCGGAACAGUUUAAGGUUUUUGUCAAUUUACUAAUAGACAAUAAAUUACAGGAUAAAUUUGGGACGUGUAGGACAUGAUUUAGUGUUAUUGAAUCAGAGAGUCGAAUACUCCCUUUUCCGAUAAUUGAGGAUAAAGAGUCAUCUACAAUUUUAACUUUAAGGUUGUCUGCACAUGGUGAGUAUGAAAGGAACAGGUGGUGGGAGUCCGUCAUAUGAUUGGACGCACCAGAGUCGAUAAUCCAAGGCACUUUAGAGAGUACCUUGGUGUUUAGGGCUUUCGAAAAAAUACCUUUGUGGGCUAGGGAGCUUGACGAAUUAGGUGAUUGAAAAUUUGAAAACAUUUUAUAGGGUUGUUCGAGUUGCUCUAGGUUGAAUGCACUGCUUGAAGUGGACUGUUGCGUGUCAUUAAUUGCAGCUUGAUAUCCAUGAUUUCUAGUAUUUUGUCUCGAUUUCCAGUCACUUGGUUUUUGGUGCAAAUCCCAACACGUAUCUUCUUUAUGUUCGGGUUUUCAACAGUGGUCACACCAUGGACGACUCUUUUGAUGUUUCGGGCCUGGUCCAAUUUUUGCCGGUUCCGUCAAACCCAACAGAUUUGGGCCCAUUAAAAAACGAUUUUUUAACAUUUGUAGCCAAACUAUCAGACCCACUAUCUAUUGGCCCAGUUGACUGUUAAGAUAGGGCCGAUCCUUCCAACCCAGCGAGUCCACCUUCCUUCUUCAUCAUAAUCAGUCGGCGACUUUCUUCUCGCCUCACUUCAACGAACACGUCACAAGUGGUGGGAAGCGGUCGGCGACCAAGAAUCCGACCUCUAACAUCAUCCAAUUCCCUGUUCAGUCCAACCAGAAAUUCAUCCACUCGCUCAUUCUCCAGCCGUUUCUUAUACUCGAUACAAUCACCGGCGCAGUUCCAUUCAUCUUCAAUACUCUGGUCCAAUUCUUGCCAUAAAGCUGUCAUCUCCAUGUAAUAGUCGGUGACAUCUCUCUCCCUUUGCUUCGAUUGCCACAACUUGGUUUUAAUCUUGAAGAUUUGCGAGAAAUUUUUAGCGUCGGAGUACAUCUCCCCGACUGCUUCCCAAAUGUCUUUUGCGGUGGGCAUGAAGAGAUAAAUUUUUCCAAUUUCGGGCGUCAUCGAGUUCACGAGUCAUGCCAUUACCAUGGAGUUUUUGGAUUUCCACCUUUUCUGAAGAUUCACGUCGGCGAUGGGCUGCUUCGUUUCUCCGGUGAGAUAACCUAACUUUCCUUUCCCAUCAAUCACCAAUUUAGUGGACUGAGCCCACUCCCUAUAGUUUCUCUCGUUGAGUUUCUCUACCGUUAAUUGGAAGGACAAAUUAUCAAUUCCAAUUGGACCCAUGGUGGGAGUAAUUUCGGUUUCACCUAUGGGAGACUCAGAUGUUGCCGAAUCCCUGCUCCAAUUUUUUCCGCCAUUGAUGGCUAGUUUUACUGUAAUUCCGGCUCCGAUACCAUGAAGAUUGGAUGACAGAAUUCCAAUUCUUUAUUAUAUUUUUCUUACAAUGGAAAAUUGUAAAUAUAUAAUACAAGGAGGAGGAAUAAAAAAGAAAAUAAUCUCCUAUCUAAGGAAAGAAGAAAUUAUUUCCUAACUAAUUUACAAUUAUACCAAAUAAAGAUAGAAACAAUCUUUCUAUAAUAAUUCUAUAAAAUUACGGGAUUUUUACAUUCCGUAUCAUUAAUAUGUACAUUAAUCUGUACACAAUGAUGUACAAUUUACGUUACUCUUAUUUAUUUGUUAUUUUUGCAGUUAUUCAGAUUUGCACUUUCCAGGGAUAUCAAGCAAUCUCUUUAUUGAUACUUUUGCAGCUACAGAAUGAUUUAUGGGUGAAGGAUGUUCUAGUUCCUGCAAUAAUGGUGAAUUUUCAAAUUAUUGCAAGAUUUCAUGCUUCGAGCUUCGGUAACAUGGCAAGACAGAUAAUAAAGUAGAUAAAACAUUUUGAUUACAAACUGGGUUCCUCUAAACUGACAUGCUUUAGAUUUCCUAUUGCAUAUGUUGAACACAUUUUGCUUUCCUUGCAUUUUUCAUAGCUUGUUUGGAAUGUCGCAGGUUAUCGUACUCUAUUUAUAAUUUACAUGACAAUUUUGUUUUCUCAAUAGCCUCUAAUUUACCUUCUGUGGUCAUUGGAAGGCUAGAUUGUUGGUUUUAUGCCUCGAGUCCAGUUAGCAUUGCAUAAGCAUUUGGCUUGCAUACAAAUCGACAAGCCAAUCUUGCUAAAGAUAUAUUUUUAUGUCAAAUAAAUUUCAUUUUUCAAUCACAAAAUGGAGUGGACGUACAAAUUUACCCAAAAAGUUUAUGGCCUUG
rnacentral:lncRNA from 1 species